CCUACGGGUGGCAGCAGUGGGGGAUAUUGCACAAUGGGGGAAACCCUGAUGCAGCGACGCCGCGUGUGGGAAGACGGUCCUCUGGAUUGUAAACCACUGUCCCCAGGGACGAAGAUGACGGUACCUGGGGAUGAAGCUCCGGCUAACUACGUGCCAGCAGCCGAGGUAAUACGUAGGGAGCGAGCGUGGUCCGGAAUGACUGGGUGUAAAGGGAGCGUAGGCGGGGAUGCAAGUUGGGUGUCAAAACUACAGGGUCAACUGGUAGUCGCACGCACAACUGCAGCUCUUGAGUGAAGUAGAGGCAGGCGGACUUCCUAGUGUAGCGGUGUAAUGCGUAGAUAUUAGGAGGAACACCAGUGGCGAAGGCGGCCUGCUGGGCGUUUACUGACGCUGAGGCUCGAAAGUGUGGGGAGCAAACAGGAUUAGAUACCCCAGUAGU
rnacentral:rRNA from 1 species